rnacentral:rRNA from 1 species
UACGUAAGCAGCAAGCGUUGUUCGGAAUUACUGGGCGUAAAGAGUGCGUAGGUGGUGUUCCAAGUCUGGUGUGAAAUCUCCCGGCUCAACUGGGAGGGUGCGCCGGAAACUGGAAUGCUUGAGGGUGGGAGAGGUAAGCGGAAUUCCUGGUGUAGCGGUGAAAUGCGUAGAUAUCAGGAGGAACACCUGUGGUGUAGACAGCUUACUGGACCACUUCUGACACUGAGGCACGAAAGCGUGGGUAGCAAACAGG